AACUUAAAUCUAUUAAACAUAAGUAAAAGGGAGAUAAAUAAUUCAGACUACAUAUUGAGUUCAAUCAUAAUCUUAGAUUAACAAUUUAGUUCCCCAUCAAGUCACACAUCAUCAUUGAAUAAAAUUUAAACAUUAAGAACAAAACCAAGAAAAUAAGAGAAUAAAAGAAAAUAUAGAAAAACUCAAGAGUUAUAUUCUUGAUCUCCAAAUCUCCUUGAAUCGAACAAAUUUUCUUAGCUUUAAUGACUUUAUGGCUUGACUCUCAACUAUUAACCUGGUGUUUCUUCAUUUUUCCCUUUUUUCCUCUGAAAUGUUUUUUUUAUAGGCUUUGAAGUUAUGCCAAGUUGGAUGAAGAAAGAAGUCAAUUUCAGCUAGGAUUUCCUCAUCAGAUUAUGUGAGUCGCAGCCUUGCCCAAUUAAUUAACAAAAAUCGUAUUUGAUCUAGGACUGCUGCAGUGUGUCAACUUUGACAAGAUUUUUGACCAUCUUCCAGGCGAAACUGGGUAAAAUAGAAAACAGGAAAGUUGUAUAUUUUACUCUUAUAUUUUCAAUGGUUCAAGAAUCACUUCAUUUGAAGCUCUGUAGAGAAAGUUAUGGCCAAGAUACCAAAACAUGUGCAGUGCAAGUCUGCACCUAAAAAUUGCUUUUCUUCUUCCAUUAAAAUUCUUUUUUCAUCACCUACAAAUGCACAAAUAAAUCAAUAACAACCUAUUUUAACCAUAUUAACAACAAUUUAAGCAUAAAAUUAACUAUGAUUAGAUUAACUCACCUAAAAUAACUAAUUUAAAAUAAUUAAAUAAAAUAUACUAAUUUCUAUGCAUUACUACAAAAACUAAGCCAAAUUAUUAUCAAAAUUAAGCUCAAAUAACUCUAUAUUAUAGAGUUAUCACACCCCAAAAUUUAAGAUUUUGCUAGUCCUCGAGCAAAACAUAGAAAAGAACCUAACUUAUGAAAAUCAAAUUCAGUUAAUGAAAACUAAAAUAAAUAUAGUUACUACUGCUACUACUACUAUUACUACUACUAAUGGAGAUAAAAUGCACCGAUUCAAUGAUUCUCCUUAAUUUCCUCAAAAUUAUGUCUAUCAAUCAUUAACUUAAGGAAAAAUAUAGGCCUCAUUGAAAUUCAUGUUUCAAUUCUAAUGCAAGCAUAUUUUUGAAUGAUUUGUCACGACCCGGUACUCCCCUCGAGCCCGUGACAACCGCUGCGACAUCCCGGUAGACAUUCGUUACCCGGAGUGUCAACGGGAACCCCGUAAGGCUUUAGUACCAUUUUUUUUCAUCUCCCUUGUGAGUAAUCAUUGCCAAACCUUGUUUUUAAAGAAUUUUAAGCUUUUUCCUUUUCAAAACCAUGGAAAAAUAAUUUUCACCUCACAGGGGCAUUUUCAUCAUUUUUCCUUAAAAUUUUCCAAAUCUGACUAAAAAUGUAGUAGAUGAGUGAAAAACACAUAUUUCAUGAUUUGAAAUAAAUUUAGGUGUCUAAAACAUUUAUUAAAAAUGAUAUUGCAACUAUUUGAAUAAAAUAAAAAUAUUCAAUAAAAUAUUCUAAUUUCUUGUAAAACAAUAUUUAUAGAGUCAUCGAUAAAUAAUUUUUGUAAUGUAAAAGCUAAAUAAAUUCAUACGUACUCUAACACAGAUAAAACAAUUUAACAUACUGAAAUUCAUCACCUUUCAACUUGUUUCAACCAAAUAAAAUCAAUUCAUAUAAAUAGAGUAAUUAACAUGGCUUAUGAGUUUUUUAAAACUUUGGCUCGUGCCAAAAUCAUUAUCACACUCAUUCAUCAGGGAUACCUUGGUCGAGGGCUAUCCCAAACCGAGUCUGCCAAGGCUGUUUAAAAGUUAUGUACGCAUAUGAAAUACCCCAUACUUUGAUAUGGUGAUAAAUAAAGUUGAGCGAAUGCAAAUUGAGGUCAAUUAAAAUGUUUAAAACUGAUAAGAGAUGAAAGGAGUAGUUUAGGAUAAAAUAUUUCGCAAGUGAGAAAAUAAUAAUAAUUUUAUUGAAGGAGAAUUUGUGAGAUAAAAGGUGAUUCAGAAGUCAAGUGAGGCAUAAUAAGGUAUUUCAGGUACCAAGGAGACAAGAUAAAAUUUUUAAAAUAUUAAUAUUUAGCCGGAUGUCGAAAUCAGUCAUGAAGAAAGAUCAUAUGGUUGAUCCAAGUGGGGGAGAAGAUGACAAGCUCGACUCUAUAAAAAUAUUUGUCAUGACAUACAUGUGAUGGAUAACAUGUUUGCAUGCUAAGAGGGUCCCGAAAAAAAAAAUUUACAAAAGUCGGUAUUGUACCUAGAGGUACAACAAAGUUGAUUUAAACCUCGAACUAGAUCAAAUAGAGACUUCACAAUGAAAUUAAGAAUUUUAAAGUCCCAGAAUGCUUUAAUAUGGUAAUUCGGAGUUUAAGGUUUGAUUUAGAGUCAAUCCGAAAAAUUGACCAAUUAGGGGUAAAAUGGUCAUUUGCCACCUGAGGACAAAAUGUAAAUUUUUAGAAAAGAUUUUUGGCCCCAUUUGACUUAUUGGAGUAAGAUUUGAGAUUUAGAAGUGAAAAAUUUUACUUUCGGUAUAAUUUGGAGUAAAAGGGUAAAAUGGUCAUUUUGCCAUCCGAAAUCAAAAAUUUAAUUUUUGAAAGGAUUUUGAUCAAAUUUAAUUAUUUGGAGUGUGAAAUGAGUAUGAGGAGUGAAAAUUAUGCAUUAUGGCAAAUUUUCAAUUUUUGGGGUAAAAAUGUAAUUUUUGAAAAGUUCGGGGGCAAAAGUGUAAUUUUGAAAAAUUUGCUCCACCAAAACUUUGGAAAAAUCUGGAAAUUUCACUUAAGACUUGGAUAAGUCAAAGGGAAUGCAUGGUGGAAAAAGUAGGACAAAUGGAUGGCUAAAAAAAAAAAUGAAUUAAUAAAAUAUUUAAAAUAUGAAUAAAAUAAUAUUAUUUCAUUAAACAAUAAAAAAGGCAUAAAAAAAUCAGCCCACCCAUUCUUCUUCUUCAACAUUCGGCCAAGCAAGAAACAAGAGAGAGAAAGGAGAAAAUAAAACCCUAGCUAAGAAAUUUAAAGGGAAAAUAGGUGGAAAUUCAAAAAUCAAGUGAAAAAAGGUAACAUUUCUUAAAUUUGUCUUGUGCUUUACCUUUCCCAUGCAUUUUCCAUCAUUUUUCAUGGUUGAAUCAUGUGAUUUGAGGAUGAUUUGAAUUCUGGUCAUAUGGGUUUAGAGAGAGAAAGUUGUUAGAUAAAUUUGAUUUUGAGCUAUGUUAGUGUUUAGUGUUAGUUUAGCAUGUUUAUGAGUAAAACAACAAGAAAAAUAUUUAUCUUCUCCAUGAAUUUCUCUAGGCCGAAUCUAGCCAAUGGUAUGUGAGGAUGAGGUUGACUUUAUUUUAAGAGAAUUGGGUGGAAAAAUGAUGAAUUAUGAGGUUGGAAAUUAAAUGGGAAUUUUCGGUGCAAUAAAUUGAAAUUUUUACCCACUAGGGGUAAAAGCGUAAUUUAUAGUCCGGACUGAUAAAUUGGACCAAAUUCACAGUCAUUGAGGUAUUGUGGAUAUAAUUGGAUAAUUGAAAUUGAAAUGGAUGGAAUUGGAGUCGAAUUGGGGAUUUUAGGAAUUUACACCGUGUAUAGGCGAGUUAGGUCGGACACCGCAAUUAAGCGAUUGUCUAGACAUUUCAAAUCCUAUCUAGUGCAUACGCAUGGAUAAGAGCCUGAAAUAAUUUAUGAUAAAUUGACACAAUUUAUUGAAUUUUGUGUCAUGGAUUAUGGAUAGGUGGUGAGUCAAUUGUUUCGGGUAAGAGACUGCACCCGAGGGCGGAAGAUAGGAGUAUUUCUACUCCUAAAACUGUGAGUAAACUUAUUAUCGUCUUAAUUAUCUAGAGUAGUUUUAUACAACUGUGUGAUUUUAUGAAAAAUGGGUUUAAAUGGUAAAUUGCUAUGUUUUAAGAGAAAUUGUGAUUUUAUAAAAUGAUUUUAUAAAUUUUCUGGAAAAUCGAAUAUUGGUUUUGAAAAUAGAGUAAUUGGAGACUGCUAGUUUGUGUUGCAAAUUUAUGGUUUUGAAUUGAAUGGCUUAUGACAAUAAAUGAGCAUGAAUGGCUAAACUGAUUUUGGUGUUAGAAUUAUUUAUACUGUGUAUUCAGCCUUGAGAGGCUAGGUUGCGAUAAAUUGCCAUGUCAUGCUAGAAUGAAUUUUAUUGAUUGGUGGAUUAUAUAUUAAUUAUUUACUGCAGAGGGGGUUCCGUGGACCAGCCUAUUAGAGGGGCACGGUAAACUCCAUUAUAUUAUUACCUCGAACGGAGAGGCGCGUAGGGUAUCUCCUGGGGUAAAGCUUAGGGUUCACUUCACGCCAAACCACCACGUGAAGGGGAACUCAGCCAACGCCAAGGAACGGCUGUAUUUUUCUCAAACUAAAAAUAUAUUUUAAGUGUAUACAAAAUUUUAACAGCCUUGGCGGACUCGGUUGGAUGCCCUGCGCAAGGUAUCACCGAGUAUGAGUUUUGGCACGAGCCAAAGUUUUAAGAAAUUCAUAAGCCAAGUUGAUUACUCGAUUUAUAUGGAUUGAUUUUAUUUGGUUGAAAUGAACUGAAAGGUAAUGAAAUUACAGUAUGAUGACUUAUUUUAAUUGUCUCCAUUUACUCGGCUUUAGAUACUUUAGAUGGUAUCUGUUUACUCACUGGGAUUAUAAAAUCUCACCCCUUCUUCUUAUACAUUUUUCAAGCUCAGGACUGUUUGUAGAUAGUCGAGUAAGACGAGAACUAAGCUCGGAACUGUAUUAUAGAAAGUAAGAGUUCACAGUCUUACAUCCUCUUGGUCAAUUGGAGCCCACGUGUCAUUGCAGAUCAAAACUUAUAUUUUGGUUAACUGUAUUUCUAUUCAUACAAUUUUUACUUUACUUUCAUGUGCGAAAAAUUAUUUACGAAUAUUUCUAUAAAAAUUUAUUUUAUGAGAAAAUAGAAUAUUUUAUUUUUUCUUUUUGAAUAGUACUAGUUGUCAACAAUUUGCUUUCAAAUGAACGUUUUAGAUACUUAAUUGUUUUUAAAUCAUUAAAUAUAUAUUUUCUACUUACCUACUACAUUUUUAGCAAGUUUUGAGAUUUUUGACGAAAAAUUACUAAAAUACCCCUGUGAGCCAAAAAAUAAUAUUUUAUUGUUCUUAUUUAAAAAUGACUUAUGAUUUUUUUGAAAUACGAGAUUUAAUAACUGUUGCUCACCGGGGAGAUGCGAAAGUUGAUGCUAAGCCUUGCGAGGUUUCAAUCGACAUUCGGGGUGAAGAAUGUUUGUCGAGGCCUCACGACGGUUGUCACGGGCCCGAUGGGUAGUUCCGGGUCGUGACAACAUAAAUCAUGUUUUUAUUUUGAAAACAUAGCCGUUGGCCGAGUUCACCCUCACGUGGUGGUUUGGCGUGAAGUGAACUCUAAAAUGUUAACCUCAGGAGUUAUCCAUCCGUGCCUCUUAAACUGAGGUAUGAAUAUGACCAGGUUUUGUGCCCCUCUAAUAGGUUGGUCCACAGAACUAGCUCACUACAGCAAGCUAAACCCACCAUACAAUAAAAAUUCAACAGCAUGACAUGGUAAUUUUAUAAUUAUCUAGCCUAUCCAAGCAAACAACAGUUUAUACAUUUCAACACAAAUACCAAUUCAGCCAUUCAUGCCAAUAUUGUCAUAAGCCAAUCAAUUAGAACCAUAAAUUCACAAUACAUCAAAUGGUCUCCAAUUACUCUAUUUGAAAAGCCAUUAUUCAAUUUUAAAACAAUUUUAUGAAAUCAUUUCACUAAAUCACAUUUUUGUUUAUAAAAUCAAAAAAUUAAUAAUUUAAUUCAUUUUCCAUAAAAUUUACAAAAUCGGAUAAAACAUACUUUAGAUAAUUAAGACGAUAAUAAGGUUACUCACAGUACUAGGAGUUCGAUAUACUCUUAUUCUCGAUCUUCAGGCACAAUCUCUUUACCCUUGUUAGAGGGCUCACCACCUAUACAUCAUACAUGACACGAAUUUCAAUAAAUUGUGUCAAUUUAUCAUAAACUAUUUAAAGCUCUAUAAAUCUAUAUGAAUGCACAAAAUGUGAUGCAAAAUGUCUAAAUAUCCGUUUAAAUACGGUAUUCAACCUAAUUCGUACUAUUCUCGAUGUAAUUGGCUAAAACCUCCAAUUUAACUCCAAAUCGAUUUCUUUCACUUUCUACACUCCAAUUAUACUUAAAAUGCCUCAAUGACUGUGAAUAUGAUUCAAUUUAUCAAUCCGAACCAUAAAUCGCACAUGUCUAUACAUUAGGUAAAAAUUUAUAUUUUCAUGCCAAAAUUUCCCAUUAAAUUUCUAGCCUCACCAAUCAUUAAAUACCACCAAAAUAUCAUGAAAUAUCAUCAAUUUCAGCCUCAAUAUCCUCCCUAGAAAAUUCGGCCUCUUGUGGGUUUGUGAAGAACAAAGUGAUUCCUUGCUAGAUUUUCAUACUUUCCAUUAUCAAACAACCAAAAACACUUAAUUAGCUUGAAAUCUAGCAAAAUCAAUGCUCAAAACCUCUCCUCUCAAAUUCGGCCAGCAUGGGUUCAUUAUGCAAACUUGAGUUCUAAGCAUGGAAAAUGAAAAAGAAAGCAUGGGUAGUGUAAAUCACAAGAUAAAACCACAAAAGUUUACCUCUAUUAUCUUAAUCCCUUGAAAUCUCACACUUUUUCUUCAAUUUUCCCUCCUAGGGUUUGUGUUAUUUCCUUUCCUCUUCACUUCAUGCUUUGGCCGGC
rnacentral:lncRNA from 1 species